rnacentral:lncRNA from 1 species
UCUGCUGAAGUACUGCAACAGCUUUGUCGAACUCCUCAGCUGCUUUCCAUCUGAAGCUGCAACUUUAGAUGGAUUUCCCCGAAGACAAGUAUCCACAGGGCGGUGUGCCCUCAGUGGAUUCUCAGGAGUGUGGCUUCUGGGUCUGCUUCGACCAUAAUCUCGAAGACCAAUAGGGCGGAAUACCUUUCUUCGAUCAAUCAGGAAAAUGGCUGUUGGGUCUUCAUCUACUCUGCUUCGACCAUAAUUCCGAAGACCAAUAGGGCGGAGUACCCUCUUCGGAUGCUCAGGAAUAUGAUUCUUUGGUCUUCUUUGGUCAUGAGGAUCACCUUGAGACAUGUCCUCAAAGUGUAUAGACUGCUUUCCAACUCACGGUUGUCCAUCUUUAGGCGUACCACAUCUUUCAGACUGGACAUAAUUGAACGCUUUGUCCCUCAGCUUGGCAAUUCGAAGAAUCUGC